UACGUAAGAACAAGUGUUACUCUUCACGAAGAAUGAAGUCAGUCAAGAAUUUGUAGAAUUUGUAUGUCCAUAUCAAAGAGACGUGUAAUUGCAUGUCACACAGUACAGCUUCAUAAUCAUGAAUUUCAAUAACGUCUAUUUUAAAACUCAUCAAUAAAGAUGACUGUGAAUAGUUUGAAUGUAAGUUCUGCCCUCCCAUCACUAAUGAAAAAAGAAAUGGGAGAAAAAAAAGACCACUGUAAAACUCUAUGACAAGCGAAUAAAGCGGAGAUUUUAAAGCUAUUUCAGUUUCGAAUGUAAUCAAUUUCUAUAAUAGUUCCGCAAAUUCCAAAAGUUUCUGGUUUAGCCAAGGGCAAAGUUUUUGCAAAACACGUGCUGAAACUAACCAACCGGAAAGUAGGUCAAGUAAACAAUAUUUUCUGUCCGUCUAUACUCUGUUGGCAUCUCUAGUGUCUAACUCUGGGGACAAUGGCGUACAAGUGCCUACGCUUUCUCUAAAUUUGGAACUUUUAUUAAAAGAUUUAUUACUUUCGAUGAUAACAAAACAUGUUUCGAAUAGUUUUAAACAGCUCGGGAUCGUCUAAUUUUAGAAACAGCAUGUGGGAAGUAGACUACGCUAAACAAGUAUGAAAGCGGUACAAAUAAUCUAUGGAAGUUCUCUUUGAAUCUUACGAAUUCGUCCGGACAGCACCUAUUCUGUCUAAAGAGAAGACAUGUCUACCUUAGGCAAGUAACUACUCGUGGUGGAAGCAAUUUCACGCUUUUUCGAGGACUCAAACAAGUCUAAUAUUUUUGAUGUGAUUCAUGCGGAAGCCAUUAUUGGGGUCUUCAAUUUUGUUAUCUUGUGGGUUUGAGGGUUCAUAGAGCAUUCAGAAGACUGGAGUGCGCUGCCAUAGAAACCUUGGCAAUUAUUAUCUUGAAAACUAUUACCGUGAAAACAGUCUAGAUUUUAGGACAUUAUAAACUGAUAGAACGCUUCUAGAGGAUCACACCACAUCGAAAACAAGCGAAACAAAGCGGGCUUUAAAAACAAAAGCAAAAGAGAGAUAAGGCGUGAAUGGUAAGUAGACUAUAUAUAAAAUUUUUUUCGAAUGCAGCGAGGCAGUAAAUCAAAGCAAUAAAGCCCUCCCGGGUCGAAAGAAUGACAAGAAUAACAACUCGUCGCAUUUUCCUGACCUUGGAAUCAAGAAAUUUCUAAACAACGCAAAGUGACCUUGAUCAAGGAAGGGAGAUUAAGAUUAUUCUGGAAGCAAACGUGAAGAGCGUUGAUGCUCCCGGGACAAUGAUUGAAUCUCUACACUUGUGGGUUUACUAAUCACGCUAUUUGAAAGCUACCCUUGAAUUAAAAUUCGAUUAGUUCUUGGUGGCAGAUAUUUUGACAAUGGAUCCGCCGACAAGUGAAAUAUGGGCACAGAAUGUCACCACCGAGUCAUCCAACAUGUUAACCUCAUCCGGUCUCACAGCGACAAUCUUCAAAACCGUUUUUCUUGUUCUUAUCGCCGUGAUGAACAUUUUGGGGAAUACAAGUAUCUGUUUUAUUGUUCUUAAAGACAGACAACUACGAGCCUCAGUGCGGAAUUACGCCGUAGCAAGCCUGGCCUUGUCAGACUUACUCUCCGUUCAAAUUAUGACUUUCCAAAUUUUUACUUACUUUAACGUUGGUAAGAACCCUAUUAUGUGCACGCUUAUGGGCAGAAUAUUUGGCUGUCUUCUUUACAUCAGCAUUUUGCACUUAUUUACGUUAAGCCUGGACAGAUACAUAGCAAUAUUUUACCCAUUACGCUACAGAUUCAUGGUUACCCCGACAAGGACAGCUGUGAUUUUAUUAACGAUCUGGAUCAUCCCAGUUUUUUCUAUACUAAUCUUCCCUGCUGCGCUAGUGGAUCUCCGUGGCUAUGCCAGCUUCUAUGGAUGCAUGGACCAAGGUUCGAUAGAAAAAAUUGACAAAAAGGAUCGCUUCCAUAUGAGUGUGAACGUAAUUUUUCUUUUCUUUCUACCACUUCUUGUGAUGAUGUGGGCUUACUGUCGAAUUAGCAAAGUUGCUUGGUAUCAAGCCAACAGAGUUGGUGUUGCUGUGAUCUCGGCAGUCAGAGUGCCACAUGUUCGUGGUCUUCCCCGAACACGUGAUAGAAAAUGGGCCAAAACGCUAGCGAUUGUGAUUGGCGCAUUCCUGGGCUGCUAUCUUCCAAUUGUGGUGGCAUCUUUAGUGCAUAUUUUCGCUGGACAAACAACAGGUUGUUCCUUAGCACGGACUUUGGAAAUUUUAUUAUUUCUCACGUUUUCCAACACUGUUUUGAAUCCUCUGAUUUACUCUCUUCGGAACAAUGAAUACAGGAGAGCUUUCCAAAAGACAUUUAGAAGAUGCCACCGAGAGUCAAACAACAAUCAAGGUUUACGACUCAGUUACGUCAAACAAGAUCUUGAAAGCCUUACUGUGUCUAGUCACGUGACUUCAAACCACGCGAACACCUCGUGAUGUUUAGAGGAAGAUUUUAUCCACAACACUCAGUGUCAAAAUUAAAAAUUGUUUCUAUGAAACAGCUUAUUUUUUACGACACAUUUUACAAUGUUAUUUGAGCAUACCAUGUUCACUAAGCUGAGAAUAGACUAUUUUACAGCCUUCUCCUGAUUCAUUUUGUUUGUUUGAUCGUUCAAAACUUAAAAUUUUAUCUCGACAGAAGUGCAAAAAGGACUUGAGGUGGGUUGUUGAGGGGAAGUGGGGAGAAGGGGGGAGGGGGGGGGAAACAAACGCUUCGUCUUCAUCCACACCAGCCCCUCGUAAAACCAGCCUUGAUCACUCCCAGAAGGAGGUGAGAGUUUUGGAACAAGUACUGCUCAUAGGCUGACGAAGAUUUCAAACAAUAGUUUGAUAACGAUCUUUAAACAACCUACACAGAAGGGCAGAGCGGUUCAUGCGUGGAAAGAAGAUUAACGAUGAUGACCUGUUGCCCCCUUACAGCAACGAAUGCCGGUCUUCAUGAUGCUACAGGUGCAGUUGUUGUAAUAGGAUUCCCGAGUGUAUUUCGCUGAAAAAGAAAAUGAUUUAGGAUGGUUGCAACCCCUGGCAAUUAUGAAUUGUGAUCACUUACCCUUUUUUUUGGUUAAGAUCUUUGAGGGUAAGGUGGUGGAAAUGGCUUAAGCCGGGGGAAAUAAUCCCGCUCCUUGUCUGAGUACCCGUACCCCAGGCACCUAUCUUUCAAUAAAUGCCUUCCUUGUUGUGACCGCGCGAGAAAUCUUUCAAUGUGACGUGGAAUAACAUAAAACUUCACUCAAGCUUACUGUAUCUUUUCCGCGCCUGGCGAAAAUUUGACUCGCAAUGUCCUCUGGGAAUGGCUUGUGGCUUCCAGGCCUCUUGAGACCCUUCGUCUUGCAAAUCCAAGCACGAUAAACCUAUUUGCAGAUUGACAAAUCUGAAGCAAUAAUGAAAGUUCGAGUUGCAGAUGAUCUUCCGAUUGUGCCCCUUGGCAGUAGUGAGAUACAGGGAAAGAUUUUAGUUUCCCUUGAAGACGGAGUGGGAUGUGCAAUGUACGAAUUUUACGCUCAAGCUGGCGACGAGGUCACGCUCAUCGCAUUUCACCGUAAUCACAAUCACAUAUACUACUGUGUUGAAGGGCGAUGUGUCAUACACGACGGUGCAACCAAACAGCUGCCUUUCACCGCUGACCAUCUCCUUGCUCUCACAACUGACAAAAACGUUCACAUUCGUAUUCAGGAGCCAAUGAGAAUAGUUGCUGUUUCCGUCCCACAUGACACAAGCGUAUCUCCCCCACCUUUGCUAAUGAAGAGCCUGGACGAAGUAACUGAUUCAGAUCGCAAUGUUCCCUUUGAAGAUGGAUUAAGUCGAAGGUUUCUUGCCGCCCCUGAUGGCUACAACAUCUCAGUUCACAACACGUUUUGUUCGAGUAGUUUUAGCAAGCAUCUCCAAUAUCUAAAUAACAAAGAAUUAGUCUAUGUUAUCAAAGGUCAAGGUGAAUACGUAUGGGAAAACGGGCAAUGUCGACACGAUUUUGACUCUGAAAAGCAUCAUGGGACUAUGUUUCUUGUAGGAAACAACGCCCACAAGAUGACAAUCGGCGCUAGAGAUACCAUUGCUAUCUGCCUGUUCUAUCCACCACUCAUGGGAAACGAACGGCUGAAAACUGGUAAAGAGGGUGGUUCCUCUUAUUAGCUCCAUGCUCUUUUCAUACCUGCUAGCUAGUGUAGGCCUCAAGGGUUGAUACGGUUUUAGCAACACACUUUUGUGAAACAUCUGUAUCAUAUUUGCCAUUAUUUAACUUUGAAAGUGAAAAUCGGGCUCUCGCGAAUUAUUCGGUAGGAUUUCGGUAAUUAUUUGAAGUUCCCUGGCAUUUUCCAAAUAUUUUUUAAAGGUUGCACAAUCACGCAAGUCUUUAGGAUGUCCUUGCUACAGGAAUUGGACCACGUAUAUGCUAAGGAAUGAGAAAGGUUUUCUGAUGCGUUUAUUUCGUAAAUUAACCUAUAGUUAAUCAUUAAUCAAGUGGUAGUGUUGCCUUGAAGUCUGUUGAAGGCGAAAUAAAAUUUCUAUACGAUUACCUUG